rnacentral:rRNA from 1 species
GACAGAGGUGCCGAGCGUUAGGCGGAAUCACUGGGCUUAAAGCGUGUGUAGGCGGCUCGUUAAGUACCUUGUGAAAUCCCACGGCUUAACCGUGGAACUGCUGGGUAUACUGGCGAUCUUGAGCCACCUAGGGGCAACCGGAACAAAUGGUGGAGCGGUGAAAUGCGUAGAUAUCAGUUGGAACGCCAAUGGUGAAAACAGGUUGCUGGGGGUGUGCUGACGCUGAGACACGAAAGCCAGGGGAGCGAACGGG